UACGUAGGGUGCAAGCGUUGCCCGGAAUUAUUGGGCGUAAAGAGCUCGUAGGCGGUUUGUCGCGUCUGCUGUGAAAACGCGAGGCUCAACCUCGCGCCUGCAGUGGGUACGGGCAGACUAGAGUGCGGUAGGGGAGAUUGGAAUUCCUGGUGUAGCGGUGGAAUGCGCAGAUAUCAGGAGGAACACCGAUGGCGAAGGCAGGUCUCUGGGCAUUAACUGACGCUGAGGAGCGGAAAGCAUGGGGAGCGAACAGG
rnacentral:rRNA from 1 species